rnacentral:tRNA from 1 species
CUGAAAUUAGCUCAGUUGGUUAGAGCAUGGUGCUGAUAACACCAAGGUUGUGGGUUCAAUCCCCAUAUGUAAAU